rnacentral:rRNA from 1 species
UACGGAGGGUGCGAGCGUUUAAUCGGAAUUACUGGGCGUAAAGGGUGCGUAGGUGGUUUGAUAAGAUAUUUGUGAAAGCCCUGGGCUUAACCUGGGAAUGCCAGAUAUGACUGUUAGACUCGAGUAUGGGAGAGGGUAGUGGAAUUUCCGGUGUAGCGGUGAAAUGCGUAGAGAUCGGAAGGAACACCAGUGGCGAAGGCGGCUACCUGGCCUAAUACUGACACUGAGGCACGAAAGCGUGGGGAGCAAACAGG